AGCGGCAACAGCUCAAAUUUGAAAUCUGGCUUCGGCCCGAGUUGUAAUUUGCAGAGGAUGUUUCUGGCGCGGUGCCUUCCGAGUUCCCUGGAACGGGACGCCACAGAGGGUGAGAGCCCCGUAUGGUUGGACACCAAGCCUGUGUGAAACUCCUUCAACGAGUCGAGUAGUUUGGGAAUGCUGCUCUAAAUGGGAGGUAAAUCUCUUCUAAAGCUAAAUACCGGCCAGAGACCGAUAGCGCACAAGUAGAGUGAUCGAAAGAUGAAAAGCACCUUGAAAAGGGGGUUAAAUAGUACGUGAAAUUGUUGAAAGGGAAGCACUUAUGACCAGACUUGGGCCGGGCGGCUCAUCAGGGGUUCUCCCCUGUGCACUCCGCCCGGCACAGGCCAGCAUCGGUUCUCGUGGGGGGAUAAGACCGUCAGGAACGUAGCACCCUCCGGGGUGUGUUAUAGCCUGGCGGACGAUACCCCCGUGGGGACCGAGGUCCGCGCUCCGCAAGGAUGCUGGCGUAAUGGUCAUCAGUGACCCGUCUUGAAACACGGACCAAGGAGUCGUCCAUUAGAGCGAGCGUUUGGGUGUAAAACCCGCACGCGUAAUGAAAGUGAACGCAGGUGAGAGCUUCGGCGCAUCAUCGACCGAUCCUGAUGUUCUCGGAAGGAUUUGAGUAAGAGUUUUAACGGACGGACCCGAAAGACAGUGAACUAUGCUUGUAUAGGGUGAAGCCAGAGGAAACUCUGGUGGAGGCUCGCAGCGGUUCUGACGUGCAAAUCG
rnacentral:rRNA from 1 species